rnacentral:rRNA from 1 species
GAUGAACGCUGGCGGCGUGCCUAAUACAUGCAAGUCGAGCGAACGGACGAGAAGCUUGCUUCUCUGAUGUUAGCGGCGGACGGGUGAGUAACACGUGGAUAACCUACCUAUAAGACUGGUAUAACUUCGGGAAACCGGAGCUAAUACCGUAUGAUAUUUUGAACCGCAUUGUUCAAAAGUGAAAGACGGUCUUGCUGUCACUUAUAGAUGGAUCCGCGCUGCAUUAGCUAGUUGGUAAGGUAACGGCUUACCAAGGCAACGAUGCAUAGCCGACCUGAGAGGGGGAUAGGCCACAUGGGAACUUGGACACGGUCCAGACUCCUAAGGGAGGCAGCAGUAGGGAAUCUUCCGCAACAGGCGAAAGCCUGACGGAGCAACGCCGAGUGAGUGAUGACGGUCUUCGGAUCGUAAAAAUCUGUUAUUAGGGAAGAACAUAUGUGUAAGUAACUGUGCACAUCUUGACGGUAACUAAUAAGAAAGCCACGGCUAACUACGUG